UGGGGAAUAUUGCGCAAUGGAGGAAACUCUGACGCAGCAACGCCGCGUGAAGGAUGAAGGCUUUCGGGUUGUAAACUUCUUUGAUCGGGGACGAAGAUGACGGUACCCGAGGAACAAGCCACGGCUAACUACGUGCCAGCAGCCGCGGUAAUACGUAGGUGGCAAGCGUUGUCCGGAAUUACUGGGUGUAAAGGGAGUGUAGGCGGGGCGGCAAGUCAGAUGUGAAAUCCCGUGGCUUAACUGCGGGGGUGCAUCUGAAACUGUUUUUCUUGAGUGUCGGAGAGGAAAGCGGAAUUCCUAGUGUAGCGGUGAAAUGCGUAGAUAUUAGGAGGAACACCAGUGGCGAAGGCGGCUUUCUGGACGACAACUGACGCUGAGGCGCGAAAGCGUGGGGAGCAAACAGG
rnacentral:rRNA from 2 species